rnacentral:rRNA from 1 species
AACGAACGCUGGCGGCAUGCCUAACACAUGCAAGUCGAACGAGAACUUCGGGCCUAGGGGCGCACCUGGGGGUAAGGCGGGGGAAGCAGCACUUAGGUUCGGAAUAACUCACCGUAAGGGGUGCUAAUAAAGGUUAAUGUAUUCGGACCAAAGAUCUUUUGCCUUUGGAUGGGGGCGCGUUGGUUUGGCUGGUUGGUAGGGUACAAGCAUGCCAAGGCCACGUUGCAGAGCUGGUCUGAGAGGAGGACCAGGCGCGCUGGGACUGCGGCACGGCCCAGUCUCCUACGGGAGGCAGCGGUAGGGAAUACUGGACGAGGGGCGAAAGCCUGAUCCAGCAGUGCCGCGUAAGUGAUGAAGGCCUUAGGGUUGUAAAGCUCUUUUACCCGGGAUGAUAAUGACAGUACCGGGUGAAUAAGCUCCGGCUAACUCCGUG